rnacentral:rRNA from 1 species
UGUUCCCAUUUCGAACACAGCAGUUAAGUCCUCCAGCGCUGAUGGUAUUGCAAGGGUAGCCUUGUGAGAGAGUAAGUCGCUGCCGGAU